AUUGAACGCUGGCGGCAGGCUUAACACAUGCAAGUCGAACGAGUGGCGGACGGGUGAGUAAUGCCUGGGAAUCUGGCUGAUGGAGGGGGAUAACUACGGGAAACUGUAGCUAAUACCGCAUACCAUAGGAUGAGCCCAAGUGGGAUUAGGUAGUUGGUGGGGUAAAGGCUCACCAAGGCGACGAUCUCUAGCUGGUCUGAGAGGAUGACCAGCAACACUGGAACUGGGACACGGCCCAGACUCCUACGGGAGGCAGCAGUGGGGAAUAUUGCCCAAUGGGGGCAACCUGACGCAGCCAUGCCGCGUGAAUGAAGAAGGCCUUCGGGUUGUAAAGUUCUUUCGGUAGCGAAGCGUUAACUACAGAAGAAGCACCGGCUAACUCCGUGCCAGCAGCCGCGGUAAUUC
rnacentral:rRNA from 1 species